rnacentral:rRNA from 1 species
UACGUAGGGUGCAAGCGUUGUCCGGAAUUAUUGGGCGUAAAGAGCUCGUAGGCGGUCUGUCGCGUCGGCUGUGAAAAUCCAGGGCUCAACCCUGGACCUGCAUUCGAUACGGGCAGACUAGAGUUCGGCAGGGGAGACUGGAAUUCCUGGUGUAGCGGUGAAAUGCGCAGAUAUCGGGAGGAACACCGGUGGCGAAGGCGGUUCUCUGGGCCUUACCUGACGCUGAGGAGCGAAAGCGUGGGGAGCGAACAGG